rnacentral:lncRNA from 1 species
AUCAAGGGUAUCCUGUAGCUUAAGAGAUGCAGAGCUAACAGGCUAGUACUGAGAGACCCUCAAGAGUUUUCCGACCAGUGGGUAGCUUUUACACAUAUUUGCAGUGUGAGAGGCCAUGCUCUGGAAUGUGAUUCUCUGCAGAUAAUGCUCUUCUUGGCACAUAAACCCAUCCCAAAUUGGCUCAGCAACCCUCUGCAGGCCCUGGAAAUAGGGAACAUGUUUACCCAACCUACACUGAUGGAUGCUCCAGAGUUUUGAGAACCCUUAGACCAUGGCGCAGUCCUCAGUUUACACAUAGUGUGACUCAGCAACCUACCAAUCACAGAUCUGAAGGGAAGGGGCCAAGACAAGAAUCAGCAUCUCCAGUGGUGUCAACUCAUCCCAAGAAGACACAUCUGAGACAAGAAUGGAGCAGACUCUGAUGCAAGCUUCUGCAGCCUGAGACACCUGGCCUUUGCCACCCACUGUCUUGUUUUCCUGGGAAAGUGAGGAAAGGUCUGCUGGCCAUACUUCCUUCUGAGGAAUAUACUGGAGCCAUACGACAUAUAGCAACACUGAACACAGCCUGUGCAGCUAUGUGACAGUCGUUGCCAUCCUCUGCACCCCAGCCAAAUCCUUGUGAAAGUACUUUGAUCUGUGUCUGGAACUGUACUGCCUCCUCCUUAACCUUCAAGAGUAAUAUGCUUAUUUGGCAUAUGAUUUGAGUGUUUCAAAGAGAUUCUAGUGAGGCUGCUGGCGGCCAAACUAUAAGUUAAAGCAGACCCACAAAUACAAACAUCCCACAAUGGUUCAUAUCCAAAGAGCUGGGCUGGGGCACCAUACACAUGUAUGAAUAGUGGCCUCAGGUGGGUGCCAUUGCUCCUGCCAUUGCCACUGGAAUCUCCCUGUAGCUGAGAUAGCAGCAUAGGGAUUUCCCACAUGAAAUGCCUCCUGACAGGAAACUUAGUGGAUGAGGAAAAACCCCAGAGCAAUUCAGGGAAUGGAUUCCAGUCAGCCUGAAAACUUGUGUUUUUGUCUUUUGGUGUUUGGCAAGACAAUACUAUUUGUUUUAAGAGCUCUGUCACUGGUCUACAAAUAAAAUAUGUAUCACCCAGUCUCCA